AAAAGGUUGAUUCAUUGAUAAGAAAAGGUAAAAGACUCUAGGUGAAGUAAGCUAAAGAAGCAGAAAAAGUCUAGUAAAGGUUUUGGGAUUUGG
rnacentral:sRNA from 1 species